GUAAAUAAUUAAGGGCGUAUGGUGGAUGCCUAGGCUCUCAGAGGCGAUGAAGGACGUGAUAAGCUGCGAAAAGCUCCGUUUAGGUGCAAAUAACCUUUGAUGCGGAGAUCUCCGAAUGGGAUAACCCAAUAUGUUGAAGACAUAUUAUACCGUAAGGUAGGCAAACGCAGGGAACUGAAACAUCUAAGUACCUGCAGGAGAAGAAAACAAAAGUGAUUCCCCCAGUAGCGGCGAGCGACCGGGGAUAAGCCCAAACCGUUAUUGUUUCGGCAGUAGCGGGGUAGUAGGACUGCGACAUUGAUGAAAUAAAUGAAAUGGAACACUUUGGAAAAUGUGAUCACAGAGGGUGAUAAUCCCGUACAUGCAAGUUUAUGAAUCAUAGCAGUAUCCUGAGUAAGUCGGGACACGUGUAAUCCUGACCGAAUCCGCCGGGACCAUCCGGCAAGGCUAAAUACUCCUGAGAGACCGAUAGUGAACCAGUACCGUGAGGGAAAGGUGAAAAGCACUUCGAACAGAAGAGUGAAAUAGUCCCUGAACCCAUACGCCUACAAGCUGUCGGAGCCGCUUCGUGCGGUGACGGCGUGCCUUUUGCAUAAUGAGCCUACGAGUUACUCAUCACCAGCGAGGUUAAGUACUUCAGGUACGUAAGCCGAAGCGAAAGCGAGUCUGAAUAGGGCGUCAAGUUGGUGGUGGUAGACGCGAAACCUUAGUGAUCUACCCAUGGGCAGGGUGAAGGUUUGGUAACACAAACUGGAGGCCCGAACCGGUAAACGUUGAAAAGUUUUCGGAUGACCUGUGGGUAGGGGUGAAAGGCCAAUCAAACUGGGAAAUAGCUCGUACUCUCCGAAAUGCAUUUAGGUGCAGCCUCUGUUGUUUUGUUCUAGAGGUAGAGCUACUGAUUGGAUGCGAGGGCUUCACCGCCUAUCAAAUCCGGCCAAACUCCGAAUGCUAGAACAUGAAGACAGGGAGUGAGCCAGCGGGUGCUAAGGUCCGUUGACGAAAGAGGGAGAACUCAGACCAUCAGCUAAGGUCCCCAAUUAUAUGCUAAGUUGGAAUUAAAACGGGGUGGGACUGCUUAGACAGCUAGGAUGUUGGCUUGGAAGCAGCCAUUCAUUUAAAGAGUGCGUAACAGCUCACUAGUCGAGCGGUCCUGCAUGGAUAAUACGCGGGCAUAAGCAUAUAACCGAAGCUAUGGGAUUGUAGAUGAUACAAUCGGUAGGAGAGCAUUCCAUUCAGCAUAGAAGCAGUACCGUGAGGUAUUGUGGAGCGGAUGGAAAAGCAAAUGUAGGCAUAAGUAACGAUAAUGCGGGUGAGAACCCCGCACGCCGAAAGAUCAAGGAUUCCCCGGCAAUGUCAAUCAUCCGGGGGUAAGUCGGAUCCUAAGGGUAAGCCGAGUGGCGAUCCCGAUGGCAAACAGGUUAAUAUUCCUGUACUGAUCAUAACUGCGAUGCAGCGACGCAGAGGUGACACUGCUGCGUACUGACGGAAUAGUACGUUGAAACCCGUAUUCUUUGAUACCGGUAGUGAAGCACGCCGGUAGAGAUGAAAGGUGAUAGUACCGCAAUGCUUCGGUUGCGCGGAUAAUGCAGGUAAGCUGACUGCCAAGAAAACCUGCUAAGCUUCAGGUAAUGAUCAUCCGUACUGUAAACGGACACACGUGAUCAGGUAGAAAAUACUAAGGCGCUCGAGAGAUUCAUGGUUAAGGAACUAGGCAAAAUGGUCCUGUAACUUCGGGAUAAAGGACGCUCUUGUGAAAGAGCCGCAGAUAAUAGGCCCAGGCGACUGUUUACCAAAAACACAUGGCUAUGCUAAUUCGCAAGAAGAUGUAUAUGGCCUGACACCUGCCCGGUGCCGGAAGGUUAAGAGGAGAGCUCAGAGGUAACUCGAAGGUUUGAAUUGAAGCCCCGGUAAACGGCGGCCGUAACUAUAACGGUCCUAAGGUAGCGAAAUUCCUUGUCGGGUAAGUUC
rnacentral:rRNA from 1 species